rnacentral:rRNA from 1 species
AGAGUUUGAUCCUGGCUCAGGAUGAACGCUGGCGGUCUGCUUAACACAUGCAAGUCGAACGGACUCUUCGGAGUUAGUGGCGGACGGGUGAGUAACGCGUGAGAAUCUACCUUCAGGACGGAGACAACAGUUGGAAACGACUGCUAACCCCCGAUGAACCGAAAGGGCAAAUAUUUAUAGCCUGAAGAAGAGCUCGCGUCCGAUUAGCUAGUUGGAGAGGUAAAAGCUCACCAAGGCGACGAUCGGUAGCUGGUCUGAGAGGACGAUCAGCCACACUGGGACUGAGACACGGCCCAGACUCCUACGGGAGGCAGCAGUGGGGAAUUUUCCGCAAUGGGCGCAAGCCUGACGGAGCAAGACCGCGUGGGGGAGGAAGGCUCUUGGGUUGUAAACCCCUUUUCUCUGGGAAGAACAAAAUGACGGUACCAGUAGAAUCAGCACCGCUCCCC